rnacentral:lncRNA from 1 species
UUAAAAACAAAACAACUUUUUAACUAAUGGCCUACUAAUAUUGACAUUUAUGUUACAGAUUUAUGUAAAUUUGUUAUAAGAAAUAAAAAUGAGCAAACACUUAAAGCGUACCUAGCUAAUAGCUCUUUAGCUAGUUCUAAAGCGUUAAAAGAAAGUGGUGCAUCAAAGACUAUUUUGUCAUGAUUUUUAUUAUUUGAAUGAAUUCGAGUUGGAUUUUCCCCCGCUAGAGUGCGUUCAUGAAGUAACAGCUGAGUAGGUAAAUAAAUAUUAAAUACAAAUUUUCAAAAUUUAAAAGUGAUAAGUUAUUAUUAUUAGUAGUAUUACUUAUAGUUAUUACUCUUAUUACUAAUUAAAUAUAAAUAAGACUGGGGGUACUAUAUAAUAGGGGGGAGAGAGGGGCUCACGACUUAUUUUUCACUCUCACAACUUAUAGACACUAGUAGCUACGGCUUUUAGGCUUUUAAUUCUAGUGACUAUCAGGAGAAGGAAGGAUGCUAGAGAAAAUACCUGGAGAUGUACUUGGAACUCCCUAGAUCCCAAGGACAGUGUGUUCAGAGGGAUUUCAUACAAUGGAUCUUCCUAACAAGCAUUCACAUAUCCACAUUUGCCGAAUGUUUUCAUUGGGAUAGCCGAGUCAAACGGCUUCAUCUCCUCUCUGCAACGUCAGAUUCCGUUCAAGGGAUCUUCAUUCCUCACUCCCUGGAUCAGAUAUCUCCUAGUAGAGAAGGAUCCUUCAGUGGACAGAUGCACUUCCCAUCGAGAUCUGCAAUCUUCUUACCUCUUGAAUCAUUGUCUCUAUCUUCAAGAAUACAUCAAAAAAUACUCAAACUUAAUUAAAGGCCGUGUGUGACAGAGAACUACUCAUUAUUUCCCUCAAUUCUCAACUCCUUCAUUGAAAUCCGUAUGUCUAUUCCUACUCAAGUUAACACUGCUUUGUCUCUUACUAUAAAACCUAUCUAGAUCACGCAGAAAUCACUUACCUUUAUCACAUUUACAAAAAUUCUGUUUUUUAGGUGGAGUCAGUGAUGUACGGUCUACAUAGACAAUUUAGAAGCUGUACACUUCAACAAGCUCACCCCUCAUUUCCUUAUUACUUAUGAGUCUCUUUCCACACUCAAAAACAAUUGGAAGAUGAUUAUAGAAUCUCAAAGAUAAUGUGCUUCUUUUUUCUCUUAAGUUUGGACUGUAAAGCUUAUAUUCUGCUAUUAUAUAUAAAUAGUUAUUGUUCCUUGUAUGAAAUCAUCCUAUACAAUAUAUUAAAAAACGAAAGACUUUCAUUAAAAAAAUAUUAAAAAUACAGUCAGGAACAUAAGGAGAACUGUGGGUGUACUAUCAAACAUUUUUGAGUUCAAUCCUCUUAAAGUCAACUCCGGUUCGUCUCCUACUCUAAAGAAAAUCUUACCUUAAUAAGAGGAAUCCUCUUCUACACUGCUCGUCACAUAUUGGAAUAAUACUCUCGUGGAUAUCUAGGAUCUCCACACAAAUAAAUAAUUUGAAUAUCAUUAAUAAAUGUUUACCAUAAUAAAUUGUUUUAUUGAAGAUAAUAACUAAAAUGUAGCGAAAUGUUAAUGUAAUUGUUUCAAUUAUUGAUUGGGCACAUUAUAAAAAAAUUAGAUUAUCAAAUAUAUUUUUUUUAAAUUUAAA